AGUCAACAUGCCCAGGGGACGUGGAUAACCUCGGGAAACUGAGGAUAAACCGCGAUAGGUCAUCACUUCUGGAAUGGGUAAUGACUUAAAUCUAUAUGGCCCCUGGAUUGGACUGCGGCCGAUCAGGCUGUUGGUGAGGUAAUGGCCCACCAAACCUGUAACCGGUACGGGCUCUGAGAGGAGGAGCCCGGAGAUGGGCACUGAGACAAGGGCCCAGGCCCUAUGGGGCGCAGCAGGCGCGAAACCUCUGCAAUAGGCGAAAGCUUGACAGGGUUACUCUGAGUGAUUUCCGUUAAGGAGAUCUUUUGGCACCUCUAAAAAUGGUGCAGAAUAAGGGGUGGGCAAGUCUGGUGUCAGCCGCCGCGGUAAUACCAGCACCCCGAGUGGUCGGGACGUUUAUUGGGCCUAAAGCAUCCGUAGCCGGUUCUACAAGUCUUCCGUUAAAUCCACCUGCUUAACAGAUGGGCUGCGGAAGAUACUAUAGAGCUAGGAGGCGGGAGAGGCAAGCGGUACUCGAUGGGUAGGGGUAAAAUCCGUUGAUCCAUUGAAGACCACCAGUGGCGAAGGCGGCUUGCCAGAACGCGCUUCGACGGUGAGGGAUGAAAGCUGGGGGAGCAAACCGGAUUAGAUACCCGGGUAGUCCCAGCUGUAAACGAUGCAGACUCGGUGAUGAGUUGGCUUAUUGCUAACUCAGUGCCGCAGGGAAGCCGUUAAGUUUGCCGCCUGGGGAGUACGGUCGCAAGACUGAAACUUAA
rnacentral:rRNA from 1 species